GUUUGCUAACAGUAUGCAGAAUUGCAGAUUUAUAACAUCCUUAAAUGUGUAGCUAAAACUUUUAGAAUAACAGGAAAUGAAGAGUAGUAGUAGAAGAAGGCCUGCUGUAAAAGUAAAUUUUCCAGAACUUCAUCUGAAAGUAGCUAACCGGGGAGCAACAGCGGCUGAAACACUUUGAAAUGAGUGCCGCAGUCAUGAUGAUGGCAAUCAGCAACCAUCCUACCAUCUUGGAAAAGAAAUAGUGUGAGAGAUGAGGACUCAUGCAGUCCCCUGCAGGCACCAGUGUGUGUGAAGAGGGUGGGGCUGGGGUCCAUCAGGGAAGCGCAUAGCAGAGAGGCUUUACCUGGGACUCAGAUUGAAGGCUG